rnacentral:rRNA from 1 species
AUUGAGCACUAACCUCACCCUAAGCACUAAAACUUCUAAGUUAAAACUUAAAGAACAUGGCGGCCUUUUUUAUUCAGGGGAAUUUACCGCGUUAUCGAUGACCCACGUGUUAACCUACCCCUCUUUAAAGCUUAUAUACCGCCGUCUAGCAACUGCCCAAGGCUGUUUCUAACGCCGUCUCUACGGCCUAAGUCAGGUUAUGGUGUAGCCUAUAGAGGGGAUGUCGGCGAGUUACAAUAAAAGCUUUUUUUCGGAUUUGUUCCUGUAACGGAGCAACGAAGUUGGACUUGAAAGUAAAAGUUAAUUGGAUUAUAGUUUGAAUAGGUUUUGAAGGUGU